GAAGACUACCAUCCAACCUGAACAUACCUCCAAUCUCAUCUGAUUUUAGAAGCUAAGUGGGGUUGGAUCUGAUUAGUACUUGGAUGGGAGACUAUCAGGGAAUACUAGGAAUCUCCA
rnacentral:rRNA from 1 species